UUGGAACAUAUGGCUUUAGUGGCGGACUGGUGAGUAACACGUAAGUAACCUGCCUAUCAGAGGGGAAUAACAGUGAGAAAUCAUUGCUAAUACCGCAUAGUUUGUAUUUAUCGCAUGAUAGAGACAAUAAAGGAGGAAUCCGCUGAUAGAUGGGCUUAUGGCUGAUUAGCUAGUUGGUGUGGUAAAGGCAUACCAAGGCGACGAUCAGUAGCCGAACUGAGAGGUUGAACGGCCACAUUGGGACUGAGAUACGGCCCAGACUCCUACGGGAGGCAGCAGUCGGGAAUAUUGCGCAAUGGAGGGAACUCUGACGCAGUGACGCCGCGUAUAGGAAGAAGGUUUUCGGAUUGUAAACUAUUUUAGUCAGGGAAGAAAAAGACGGUACCUGAAGAAUAAGCUCCGGCUAACUACGUGCCAGCAGCCGCGGUAAUACGUAGGGAGCGAGCGUUAUCCGGAAUUAUUGGGUGUAAAGGGUGCGUAGACGGGUAAAUAAGUUAGUUGUGAAAUCCCCAAGCUUAACUUGGGAACUGCAACUAAAACUGUAUAUCUUGAGUGCAGGAGAGGAAAGUGGAAUUCCUAGUGUAGCGGUGAAAUGCGUAGAUAUUAGGAGGAACACCAGUGGCGAAGGCGACUUUCUGGACUGUAACUGACGUUGAGGCACGAAAGUGUGGGGAGCAAACAGGAUUAGAUACCCUGGUAGUCCACACUGUAAACGAUGGAUACUAGGUGGUAGGGGGUUAUAUAUUCUUUCUGUGCCGAAAGCAAACGCAAUAAGUAUCCCACCUGGGGAGUACGGCCGCAAGGUUGA
rnacentral:rRNA from 1 species